rnacentral:rRNA from 1 species
ACACAUGCAAGUCGAGGGGCAGCGGGAUUGAAGCUUGCUUCAAUUGCCGGCGACCGGCGCACGGGUGAGUAACGCGUAUCCAACCUUCCGUACACUCAGGGAUAGCCCUUCGAAAGAAAGAUUAAUACCUGAUGGUAUGAUGAGAUUGCAUGAUAGCAUCAUUAAAGAUUUAUCGGUGUACGAUGGGGAUGCGUUCCAUUAGGUAGUAGGCGGGGUAACGGCCCACCUAGCCGACGAUGGAUAGGGGUUCUGAGAGGAAGGUCCCCCACAUUGGAACUGAGACACGGUCCAAACUCCUACGGGAGGCAGCAGUGAGGAAUAUUGGUCAAUGGACGAGAGUCUGAACCAGCCAAGUAGCGUGAAGGAUGAAGGUCCUACGGAUUGUAAACUUCUUUUAUAAGGGAAUAAACCCUCCCACGUGUGGGAGCUUGUAUGUACCUUAUGAAUAAGCAUCGGCUAACUCCGUGCCAGCAGCCGCGGUAAUACGGAGGAUGCGAGCGUUAUCCGGAUUUAUUGGGUUUAAAGGGAGCGCAGACGGGUCGUUAAGUCAGCUGUGAAAGUUUGGGGCUCAACCUUAAAAUUGCAGUUGAUACUGGCGUCCUUGAGUGCGGUUGAGGUGUGCGGAAUUCGUGGUGUAGCGGUGAAAUGCUUAGAUAUCACGAAGAACUCCGAUUGCGAAGGCAGCACACUAAGCCGUAACUGACGUUCAUGCUCGAAAGUGUGGGUAUCAAACAGGAUUAGAUACCCUGGUAGUCCACACGGUAAACGAUGGAUACUCGCUGUUGGCGAUAUACGGUCAGCGGCUUAGCGAAAGCGUUAAGUAUCCCACCUGGGGAGUACGCCGGCAACGGUGAAACUCAAAGGAAUUGACGGGGGCCCGCACAAGCGGAGGAACAUGUGGUUUAAUU